rnacentral:rRNA from 1 species
CCUAGGGUCGCUGCAGUGGGGAAUAUUGCGCAAUGGGCGAAAGCCUGACGCAGCGACGCCGCGUGGGUGAUGAAGGCCUUCGGGUCGUAAAGCCUUGUGGGAGAGGGACGAACAACCUGUGGGAAUAAUACCCCACAGGCCUGACGGUACCUCUUCAGAAAGCACCGGCUAACUCCGUGCCAGCAGCCGCGGUAAUACGGAGGGUGCUAACGUUGUUCGGAAUUACUGGGCGUAAAGCGCGUGUAGGCGGCUUGGCAAGUCAGAUGUGAAAGCCCUCGGCUCAACCGAGGAAGUGCAUUUGAAACUGCUAGGAUAGAGUACGGGAGAGGGUUGUAUAAUUCCAGGUGUAGAGGUGAAAUUCGUAGAUAUCUGGAGGAAUACCGGUGGCGAAGGCGGCAACCUGGACCGAUACUGACGCUGAGACGCGAAAGCGUGGGGAGCAAGCAGGAUUAGAUACCCCGGUAGUC